UUGGGGAAUUUUGGACAAUGGGCGCAGCCUGAAUCCAGCCAUGCCGCGUGCGGGAAGAAGGCCUUCGGGUUGUAAACCGCUUUUGUCAGGGAAGAAACGGUUUGGGCUAAUACCCCGAACUAAUGACGGUACCUGAAGAAUAAGCACCGGCUAACUACGUGC
rnacentral:rRNA from 1 species